GACAGAGGUGCCGAGCGUUAGGCGGAAUCACUGGGCUUAAAGCGUGUGUAGGCGGGUCGUUAAGUGUCUUGUGAAAUCCCACCGCUCAACGGUGGAACCGCUGGGCAUACUGGCGAUCUUGAGCAGUCCAGGGGCGAAGCGGAACAAGCGGUGGAGCGGUGAAAUGCGUAGAUAAUCGCUUGGAACGCCGACGGUGAAAACAGCUCGCUGGGGACUCGCUGACGCUGAGACAGAAAAGCCAGGGGAGCGAAACGGG
rnacentral:rRNA from 1 species